GCCUAAAGCGUCCGUAGCCGGCUUUGUAAGUUUUCGGUUAAAUCCAUAUGCUCAACAUAUGGGCUGCCGGAAAUACUGCACAGCUAGGGAGUGGGAGAGGUAGACGGUACUCCAUAGGAAGGGGUAAAAUCCUUUGAUCUAUGGAAGACCACCUGUGGCGAAGGCGGUCUACCAGAACACGUUCGACGGUGAGGGAUGAAAGCUGGGGGAGCAAACCGGAUUAGAUACCCGGGUAGUCCCAGCUGUAAACUAUGCAAACUCAGUGAUGCAUUGGCUUGUGGCCAGUGCAGUGCCGCAGAGAAGUCGUUAAGUUUGCCGCCUGGGAAGUACGUACGCAAGUAUGAAACUUAAAGGAAUUGGCGGGGGAGCACCACAAGGGGUGAAGCCUGCGGUUCAAUUGGAGUCAACGCCAGAAAUCUUACCCGAAGAGACAGCAGGAUGAAGGUCAAGCUGAAGACUUUACCAGACAAGCUGAGAAGUGGUGCAUGGCCGUCGCCAGCUCGUGCCGUGAGGUGUCCUGUUAAGUCAGGUAACGAGCGAGAUCCUUGCCUCUAGUUGCUACCAUUACUCUCAGGAGUAGUGGGGCGAAUUAGCGGGACUGCCGUAGUUAAUACGGAGGAAGGAGAGGGCCACGGCAGGUCAGUAUGCCCCGAA
rnacentral:rRNA from 1 species